rnacentral:rRNA from 1 species
CAGUCGCCACGGUAAUACGGAGGGUGCAAGCGUUAAUCGGAAUUACUGGGCGUAAAGCGCGCGUAGGUGGUUCGCCAAGUUGGAUGUGAAAUCCCCGGGCUCAACCUGGGAACUGCAUCCAAAACUGGCGAGCUAGAGUAUGGUAGAGGGUGGUGGAAUUUCCUGUGUAGCGGUGAAAUGCGUAGAUAUAGGAAGGAACACCAGUGGCGAAGGCGACUACCUGGACUGAUACUGACACUGAGGUGCGAAAGCGUGGGGAGCAAACAGGAUUAGAUACCCCUGUAGUCCCUGUCUCUUAUAC